rnacentral:rRNA from 1 species
AUUGAACGCUGGCGGCAGGCUUAACACAUGCAAGUCGAGCGGGGGAGGUUGCUUCGGUAACUGACCUAGCGGCGGACGGGUGAGUAAUGCUUAGGAAUCUGCCUAUUAGUGGGGGACAACAUUCCGAAAGGAAUGCUAAUACCGCAUACGCCCUACGGGGGAAAGCAGGGGAUCUUCGGACCUUGCGCUAAUAGAUGAGCCUAAGUCGGAUUAGCUAGUUGGUGGGGUAAAGGCCUACCAAGGCGACGAUCUGUAGCGGGUCUGAGAGGAUGAUCCGCCAAACUGGGACUGAGACACGGCCCAGACUCCGACGGGAGGCAGCAGUGGGGAAUAUUGGACAAUGGGGGGAACCCUGAUCCAGCCAUGCCGCGUGUGUGAAGAAGGCCUUUUGGUUGUAAAGCACUUUAAGCGAGGAGGAGGCUCCUUUAGUUAAUACCUAAAGAGAGUGGACGUUACUCGCAGAAUAAGCACCGGCUAACUCUGUGCCAGCCGCCGCCGUAAAAC